rnacentral:rRNA from 2 species
AGGUUCGGGGUGGAAGCGUGGCGACACGUGCAGCUGACGAAUACUAAUCGAUCGAGGACUUAACCAAA